GUGGUUUCUGAGCUGCAGGAGUUGGCUUUUGCUGAUCGGAAGAAGAACCUCUGCAAGUCGUCACGUCAGCGGAUCAUAUUAUCACUCAGAAUCUCUGUGUUGAUGAAACUGGAUGUGCUGAUCGGUGUCGUGUUGCUGAAAAUUCGUUGCUCACUGUUGCCAAAGAACGCUCUCUUCUUGACACAAAGUGUUCUGAAUUACAAAGAGCUUUAUUGAGGUCGGUAUUCUUCAGUUUGCUACUUACUGCAAUAGCUUAUUAACUUUAUUAAUCUAAGUAUAUAACUCUACAGAAAGAAAAGAGAGAAAAUAAAUAAGAAAAAAAUGAAUUUAAAAUUUUCAACUGAGAGUAGAAUUUUUUAUGUAGCAAAAGAACCAAUUCAAUACCUGUCUAUUUUUAAUAGAACAGCUUUUCAGUUUGUCAGCAACUGUAAUAUGCAUACUCAUUUAAUAAAAAGAAAUUAUUUUAAAUGGUAAGUAACUUUAAGACAGAUACCAUACUCCCAGGCAAUCAUCCUUCCUUUCAAUGCCUUAUCAAUUCAUUCCUUUUUCUCUGUCAGUUUAUUCCAGUUUUUAUUAUUGCAAUUCCUUUUUUGUUAUUUUUUCUAGCGAGAAGGCAAAGAAAUGUUCUCAGUGCUCAGACCUUCAAUGUCAGGUGGCUUCCCUCAAAGAAGAGCUAGCAGAAAAGACAAAACCUUGCUCUCAAUGUAAACAACUGCAUAUUAAACUCAGGAACAAUAAAAAUUUUAUCAAGAGAAACAAGAAAAAUGGAGACUUGCCUUUAAUAAUUUCCUUGAAUCUCGUCUUUUCUCUGAAGAAAAAUGCAACACUGCCAUGAGCUAUGUGUCUCAAAUGAUACCAUUUGACGAAGAUGAAGCUGAAGGUAGCAUUGAUAGCAGAAGCGUUCUCCAACAAAAGGCUACUGUUGAUACACCGAAACGAAAGUCUCCUUGUUCUGACGUAGAAUUAGAUCCUGGGAGUAGGAAGCGUAAAUCUCCCUGCAUUGAGACAGAAGAAUCAAUGGAACCAUCUGUGUCCCAUCAGCCGAAAAAAACUGUUGAAAAAAAAGGAAGAAAUGAAGAAGAUUCAAAAUUCACAAGUAAACCGUCCAGUAGCAAGGAGGCGCCGGUGAAGAAACCUGAAGUUAAAAUAGAGCCACAGGGUUUGAAUAAAUAUAAUAUUAUCGUGCCCGAAACACUGCCUAGUGAGCCUAUCUGUCCAGUUGUGGAAAAGAAAAGAAUUAUCAUUCCUGAGACUUUAUAUCCAGAAGAUGAUUUUGUGGAACCGAUGUCUGAGGAGCAUAAAACACCCAAAAAAGAGCCAACGAAUGGUGAAGAAGAUAACAGCCCUGUUCUAAGUGUAUCAAAAAAACCUGGAAAACCAUUGAUCAGUGCACCAGCUGAGGAACUCAAAGUCAAAGAAGAAGAGCUCGAAACUGUAGAGAAUGAGCAAAUAUCUCCAUUAACAGCCCAUCCUAAAAGUCCCUCAGUGCUGGCAGUCGAAGAGAAUCCAUCAAUUCACCCUCUGCUUGAAUCCAAAGAUCGAAAGUGUUGGAUGAGUUCUUUGAUGAAAUUGAAAAAAAUGCUGGCAGCUCGAGGAGAAGCAAGACUUUUAGCAAAGACAACUCAAAGUCUCCAGCACUGAAAAGUCUAAGGCUAAAACUGAUAUGAUAACUCCUCAG
rnacentral:lncRNA from 1 species